ACAACAAUAAAGAAAGAAGGAAAAGAAAGAAAAACAGAAGGGAAGGUACACAAUGCUCAGAACAAAUCUGGUAGAAGACGGAAGCAGAGGAACAUGGUGGAGAACAAUUUCUCUAGGUACGUUGUCGCCUGAUAGAAGCUCAAAUAGGUCCAUAUUGGAUCUUUGCAAUCUUAAUUUUUUUUGGUGUUACGCAGCACACAAAUAGCAUUCUAUACUCACAACAAGAUGAACAUUUAAUGAUAUCAGGACUCUUAACAAAGAAAAAUCAGGACUGAUAACUAGCUGGAGUAGUUUAGAUUUAAAGAGAAUAGAAAGAUGGAACUAUAAUUUGGCAUUCAUGCUCACCGUGUUCACGUUGCUGGCAUUGGAAUAAA
rnacentral:lncRNA from 1 species